UGAAUUCCAUUAGUUGCAAUUGUGUUAACUCUAUUUGUGGGUUCUCCUUCACAUCAAACAAUAACUCUGAUCCCUGAAGGCUCAUCGUGGAGGAUUUAGUCCUUAUUUUUCUCUCAGCAGCCUUUUGUACUCAACUCAAGAGAUAACAACUAAGUAUAGGAAAGGCAAUGUUUCACUCUCCUCUGAAAGAUAUAUAUUUAAACUUUCCUUUGCCAUGCAGCCUUGGAAAAACCAAAACACUGCUGCUGAAUGCAGGUUCCCCGAGGCAGCAAUCUCUGAUGUGCAAACACUGCUGAUGAAGAACCCAGCGGUGUGUGCCACCACUGUCUCCUGAUGUGCUCAGAGGUGAGGAAGGCAGAUCUCUACUUAUUUAGGGGGCAAGCAGAGGUGAUAAUUUAAUCUCCAAAUCCAGAGACUUUU
rnacentral:lncRNA from 1 species